rnacentral:rRNA from 1 species
GACGAACGCUGGCGGCGUGCCUAACACAUGCAAGUCGAGCGAGUGAAUCUCCUUCGGGAGUGCAGCUAGCGGCGGACGGGUGAGUAACACGUGCGCAACCUGCCUCAUAGAGGGGAAUAGCCUUCCGAAAGGAAGAUUAAUACCGCAUAAGAUUGUAGCUUCGCCUGAAGUAGCAAUUAAAGGAGCAAUCCGCUAUGGGAUGGGCCCGCGGCGCAUUAGCUAGUUGGUGAGGUAACGGCUCACCAAGGCGACGAUGCGUAGCCGACCUGAGAGGGUGAUCGGCCACAUUGGGACUGAGACACGGCCCAGACUCCUACGGGAGGCAGCAGUGGGGAAUAUUGCACAAUGGGGGAAACCCUGAUGCAGCAACGCCGCGUGAGUGAUGACGGCCUUCGGGUUGUAAAGCUCUGUCUUCAGGGACGAUAAUGACGGUACCUGAGGAGGAAGCCACGGCUAACUACGUGCCAGCCGCCGCCGUAA